GAGCGCUUCAGGCACAAAUAAGACAGAAAAUAGAGAACAUGUGCGGACAUGAAUGAUCGUGUGUUACUUAUAGUUUUUUGGUUGCACCACUUUGAGAAUGGACCGUGUGCUGGAUGCAGCAGCCUGGAUUGCUGCGCAACAACGAUCAUCGCUCUGCCGCUCUCUGCUCAAAAGAGUCCAUGAAUGAUGUAAUAAAGGUAGAAAACUUUUUCCGGCUCCCCUGAUGUGUAGGAUAUCCAGCUCCCCCAUAAUUCGAUCUCUGCUCCUGGAUGAAAAACCGGACAUUUUCAUCAAUACAAGAACCCCCCCGACACCCCGGACAGAGAGUGAAAAGUGGACACGUACGGGGAAAAGAGGACGUACGGUCACCCUAGUUUAAUAUAAAGUUGGAGAUUACAGAUACAUUAUUUUGCUCGUGCCCUUGCUGCCCUGGGCCCUUUAGAGUUCGUGGACCCCUGGGCAAUUGCCCAGUUGCUCAUAUGGUUAAUCCGGCCUUGGGUGCUUGAAAUUUGGACAUUUUCUUUUCUCUUCCAUUUUAAUUCUGCAAAGAAAUGACCCAGAAAGUCUUUUGCCAGUGUUUACUUUGACAUCCUUGUGCAGCAAUGACUGCUUAGUUGUGGUAACUCUUGGGAACUCUGCUUGGGCAUACAAUCCAUCAUUCACCCCUUGAAUAACAGUAUAACUCAGAACCCAACAACAAGUGAUAACAGAAUCUCUCUCAGGAAAAGACUCAAAGUGUGUUUUGCAGAUGGGAAAUGUUUUAUAUGCUGGAAUGAAGUGAUUUCCUUGCUCCAGGAAAAAGGUCUUAAAUGUUUUGGUUGUGAUCUUAGUGCAGCAAGUCUGACCUGCAGAUUUAUUUAGGCGGACCACAGAAUCUCCUUGCAGAUUGUAACAUUUUCAGAUUCCAUGAAUUUCACCUAUUUUUGUUUUUUCACUAAAGUAAAGAUGAAAAUAAGUUUUGUUGUAGUUCAUCCACACAAUAUCCCAGAAUGAAACACUUUAGGAGCUGAUUAAUCAUUGCAACAAAGGAAACUCAGUGGAUUCCCAAAAUGUUUAACAGUUUUGCACAGAAAGCAUCAGAAAGCUGUUGGUCUUCUCAAGUGACUUUUAGCAACAAAAUACAGAUUAAACAAACCAUUUGACAGUAACCUGUUGAGCAGAACAGUUUUCUUUCUCAGUUGCACUGACAAGAGAUGAAAGCCUUUUUCAUCCAGACAUUUGGCAACAUUGCAUCUGGAAGAGCACAGGUGUAGUUAAGAAUAAAUUGGCUGAAUUGGAUAUUUUGCAUGACGGCUCACUGGAGUGAUUUAUUGCAUGAACAGCCGUUAAUGUUAUUAGUUCCACCUGUGCGUGCGCUGUCAUUUGAUUGAAUGUGUUAAUCUAAAGUAAUGAUUAAUGCAUCUCAGCAUAAGCUCAGAGGAAGGAAAAAGAGCUCAGACAGAGCGAAAAUAAAGUGUGACUUCUGCUUUGUUUGUACACUCAACCUUACAGGUUUUUUUUAAUUACAGGAGGAGGAUUACUGCUUUGUUGGAUGACUCAAGGUUAAUUUUGACACAAAUGAAUGCUUUACAGAUAGAAAAAGAUUGAGUUAAAGUCAUACGCGGCAGAUAUAAGAUGCAAAGAUACAUUAAUAUGAGUGGUGUUAUUUGUUUUUUCUGCUACAUUUAUCUCAUUAGCCAAGCUAUCUGAAAGCCAGCAGGCACUGUCCAUGGUGCUGAAGAACAAAAUAUUUCUAAAUAAAGGUGUCACGGUUUGCCUCCACCUACUGGUGGAUUUUUCUGUUUUGUUUUGUGUUGCAGGUAGGCGCGGCAGACGGCACACCUGUUUGGUGUUUGACUAAUUGAGGGAGAGAGGAUUUAAGGAGCGGUGCGACUCAACUCCAGUGCCGGUUGAUACUCUCACAUGGUAUCCUGUUCGUGCAUCACCUACCUUGCCUGGAGUUGUUCCCACGUCUCGCCGCUCAACGAUCCUCUGGACUCCUCUCUCCACGUCUGCCCGCCUGCCUCACGCUCUGAACUCCUCAUCUGGUCGAACCUUCCUCAGUUCACCUCCGCUCUGGUUCCGAUUCCUGACCGUAAGAACUCUCUCAGUCACAGACUCUUGUCCCCUGGUUCUCUGGUUCUGGUCUCGCUCACCUUCUGCUUAUUUCCCCGUAGAUUCCGGUCUCCUCCUGAUCCUGAUCUGAAGCAGCGCCUUUAGUUUAGUUUAGCCUAUUCUGUUAUUAUUUUCUCAUUGUAAAUAAACCACCAUAUUUUUA